rnacentral:tRNA from 1 species
GAGCCUAUAGCUCAGUCAGGUCAGAGCACUGCUCUUAUAAGGCAGGGGUCCCAGGUUCAAAUCCUGGUAGGCUCA